UACGAAGGGGGCUAGCGUUGCUCGGAAUGACUGGGCGUAAAGGGCGCGUAGGCGGAUCUGUCAGUCAGACGUGAAAUUCCUGGGCUUAACCUGGGGGCUGCGUUUGAGACGGUGGGUCUAGAGUUUGGAAGAGGGUCGUGGAAUUCCCAGUGUAGAGGUGAAAUUCGUAGAUAUUGGGAAGAACACCGGUGGCGAAGGCGGCGACCUGGUCCUGGACUGACGCUGAGGCGCGAAAGCGUGGGGAGCAAACAGG
rnacentral:rRNA from 1 species